AUUGAACGCUGGCGGCAGGCCUAACACAUGCAAGUCGAGCGGAUGAGUGGAGCUUGCUCCAUGAUUCAGCGGCGGACGGGUGAGUAAUGCCUAGGAAUCUGCCUAUUAGUGGGGGACAACGUUUCGAAAGGAACGCUAAUACCGCAUACGUCCUACGGGAGAAAGCAGGGGACCUUCGGGCCUUGCGCUAAUAGAUGAGCCUAGGUCGGAUUAGCUAGUUGGUGAGGUAAUGGCUCACCAAGGCGACGAUCCGUAACUGGUCUGAGAGGAUGAUCAGUCACACUGGAACUGAGACACGGUCCAGACUCCUACGGGAGGCAGCAGUGGGGAAUAUUGGACAAUGGGCGAAAGCCUGAUCCAGCCAUGCCGCGUGUGUGAAGAAGGUCUUCGGAUUGUAAAGCACUUUAAGUUGGGAGGAAGGGUUGUACGUUAAUACCGUGCAAUUUUGACGUUACCGACAGAGUAAGCACCGGCUAACUCUGUGCCAGCAGCCGCAGUAA
rnacentral:rRNA from 1 species